GAGCAAAUCUCAAAAAGCCGUCCCAGUUCGGAUUGCAGGCUGCAACCCGCCUGCAUGAAGUUGGAAUCGCUAGUAAUCGCGGAUCAGCAUGCCGCGGUGAAUACGUUCCCGGGCCUUGUACACACCGCCCGUCACACCAUGAGAGUCGGGAACACCCGAAGUCCGUAGCCUAACCGCAAGGGGGGCGCGGCCGAAGGUGGGUUCGAUAAUUGGGGUGAAGUCGUAACAAGGUAUC
rnacentral:rRNA from 1 species